UUCGGUGGUGAUAGCGGUGGGGCCACACCCGUACCCAUUCCGAACACGGUAGUUAAGCCCACCAGCGCCGAUGGUACUUGGGACGAGUGUCCCCGGGAGAGUAGGACGCCGCCGGAU
rnacentral:rRNA from 1 species